rnacentral:rRNA from 1 species
UGGGGAAUAUUGCACAAUGGACGGAAGUCUGAUGCAGCAACGCCGCGUGCGGGAUGACGGCCUUCGGGUUGUAAACCGCUUUUUCUCAUGACGAAGUUUUUUGACGGUAGUGGGGGAAGACGCACCGGCUAACUACGUGCCAGCAGCCGCGGUGAUACGUAGGGUGCGAGCGUUGUCCGGAAUUAUUGGGCGUAAAGAGCUUGUAGGCGGUUUGUCGCGUCGAUAGUGCAAACUCAGUGCUUAACGCUGAGCCUGCUGUUGAUACGGGCAGACUAGAGGAAAGUAGGGGAGAAUGGAAUUCCCGGUGGAGCGGUGGAAUGCGCAGAUAUCGGGAGGAACACCGGUGGCGAAGGCGGUUCUCUGGGCCGUUCCUGACGCUGAGAAGCGAAAGCGUGGGGAGCGAACAGG